rnacentral:ncRNA from 1 species
AAAAAUGGAUGGCGCUAUAGCAUUGUACUUAUACUCAACCUCUGAUGUGUGACGCACCGGAACACUCAGAGAGUAGGAAGGUAACGUGAUAGCGUAGAAGGAUUUUGCUGUAAAGUAAUCUGGAGCUGUCACGUGCGCAGAUCUUGGUGGUAGUAGCAAGUACUCAAAUGAAAACCUUGAGCACUGAAGUUGGGGAUGGGUUCCAUGUGAACAGUAGUUGGUCGUGGGUCA